rnacentral:rRNA from 1 species
UACGGAGGGUACGAACGUUAAUCGGAAUUACUGGGCGUAAAGCGCGCGUAGGCGGUCUGUUAAGCUGGAUGUGAAAGCCCAGGGCUCAACCUUGGAACUGCAUUCAGAACUGGCAGGCUAGAGUGUGGUAGAGGGAAGUGGAAUUUCCGGUGUAGCGGUGAAAUGCGUAGAUAUCGGAAAGAACACCAGUGGCGAAGGCGGCUUCCUGGACUGACACUGACACUGAGGCGCGAAAGCGUGGGGAGCAAACGGG